AGCGAACAAGUACCGUGAGGNAAAGUUGAAAAGAACUUUGAAGAGAGAGUUCAAGAGUACGUGAAACCGUUCAGGGGUAAACCUGUGAAACCCAAAAGAUCGAAUGAGGAGAUUCAUCGUCAGCGUAUUCAGUAUUAAUGCAGGCUAUGAUGUGAUAAUAGAAUCCUCGUGGUCACUAGAUUAUACUUGCUUGUAUUAUUUUUGCUGGGUAUGUCGGCGUGCACUUCUCCUCUAGUAGAACGUCGCGACCCGUUGGAUGUUUAUUUAUGGUCUGAUUGGUAGCCUUUGAUAUUUACUAUAUUGAAGACCUUUUGGUGUCCUGAUAAACUGUCUGACGGUAUACAUAU
rnacentral:rRNA from 1 species